rnacentral:rRNA from 1 species
UGGGGAAUCUUGCGCAAUGCGCGAAAGCGUGACGCAGCAACGCCGCGUGAGCGAAGAAGGCCUUCGGGUUGUAAAGCUCUUUCAGUUGGGACGAAGCCUGGCCUGUGAAUAGCAGGUCCAGGUGACGGUACCUUCACAAGAAGCCCCGGCUAACUACGUGCCAGCAGCCGCGGUAAUACGUAGGGGGCAAGCGUUGUCCGGAAUCAUUGGGCGUAAAGAGCGCGUAGGCGGUCCGGUAAGUCCGCUGUGAAAGUCAAGGGCUCAACCCUUGAAUGCCGGUGGAUACUGUCGGGCUAGAGUCCGGAAGAGGCGAGUGGAAUUCCUGGUGUAGCGGUGAAAUGCGCAGAUAUCAGGAGGAACACCAAUGGCGAAGGCAGCUCGCUGGGACGGUACUGACGCUGAGGCGCGAAAGCGUGGGGAGCAAACAGGAUUAGAUACCCUGGUAGUCCACGCCGUAAACGAUGGGCACUAGGUGUGGGAGGUGUCGACUCCUCCCGUGCCGUAGCUAACGCAUUAAGUGCCCCGCCUGGGGAGUACGGCCGCAAGGCUAA